AGCGCAGGCGGUUUUUUAAGUCUGAUGUGAAAGCCUUCGGCUCAACCGAAGAAGUGCAUCGGAAACUGGGAAACUUGAGUGCAGAAGGGGACAGUGGAACUCCAUGUGUAGCGGUGAAAUGCGUAGAUAUAUGGAAGAACACCAGUGGCGAAGGCGGCUGUCUGGUCUGUAACUGACGCUGAGGCUCGAAAGUAUGGUAGCAAACA
rnacentral:rRNA from 1 species